AUAGAAUACAGCUUGCGUUCAAAGACAGCAGGGGCUCUUCGGGGCAUAAUUCCUGCCGAGAGUGCAUUCAAAGGGAUAUUCUUUUGAUUGUGCUGUCCUCCUGUCUGACGACGGGAGGUUUUUUGUUUCGCAGA
rfam:Firmicutes bacterium ASF500 genomic scaffold adhIg-supercont1.1, whole genome shotgun sequence.